GGGGGGGCAAGCGUUGUUCGGAAUUACUGGGCGUAAAGGGCGCGCAGGCGGCCCGGCCAGUCCCUUGUGAAAUCCCACGGCUCAACUGUGGAACUGCAGGGGAUACUGCCAGGCUUGAGUCCGGGAGAGGGGAGCGGAAUUCCCAGUGUAGCGGUGAAAUGCGUAGAUAUUGGGAGGAACACCGGUGGCGAAGGCGGCUCUCUGGACCGGUACUGACGCUGAGGCGCGAAAGCUAGGGGAGCAAACGGGAUUAGAUACCCCGGGUAGUCCUAGCUGUAAACGUUGAGCACUUGGUGUGGCGGGUAUCGACCCCCCUGCUGUGCCGAAGCUAACGCAUUAAGUGCUCCGCCUGGGGGAGUACGGUCGCAAGGCUG
rnacentral:rRNA from 1 species